AGCUUGCUCAUUCGUUCCAUCAACUUGAUCAUGUACAAUACAUGAUCAGUGACAGAGGCACCAUCCCGUAUUUUGGUGUUGAAGAUGGCACAAGUAGUCUUAUGCCUCUCCACGUCAUUGGGUGUGCCAAAGGUAUCCUCCAACACUUGAAGCAUGUCCUUUGGCUGAGCCAUCUCAAAUCUACGACUGAACUCGUCGCUCAUGGC
rnacentral:lncRNA from 1 species